AGAGUUUGAUCCUGGCUCAGGACGAACGCUGGCGGCGUGCUUAACACAUGCAAGUCGAACGGAAAGGCCCUUCGGGGUACUCGAGUGGCGAACGGGUGAGUAACACGUGGGUGAUCUGCCCUGCACUCUGGGAUAAGCCUGGGAAACUGGGUCUAAUACCGGAUAUGAUCAUGCGCCUCAUGGUGUGUGGUGGAAAGCUUUUGCGGUGUGGGAUGGGCCCGCGGCCUAUCAGCUUGUUGGUGGGGUAAUGGCCUACCAAGGCGACGACGGGUAGCCGGCCUGAGAGGGUGACCGGCCACACUGGGACUGAGAUACGGCCCAGACUCCUACGGGAGGCAGCAGUGGGGAAUAUUGCACAAUGGGCGCAAGCCUGAUGCAGCGACGCCGCGUGGGGGAUGACGGCCUUCGGGUUGUAAACCUCUUUCAGUACCGACGAAGCGCAAGUGACGGUAGGUACAGAAGAAGCACCGGCCAACUACGUGCCAGCAGCCGCGGUAAUACGUAGGGUGCGAGCGUUGUCCGGAAUUACUGGGCGUAAAGAGCUCGUAGGUGGUUUGUCGCGUUGUCCGUGAAAACUCACAGCUUAACUGUGGGCGUGCGGGCGAUACGGGCAGACUAGAGUACUGCAGGGGAGACUGGAAUUCCUGGUGUAGCGGUGGAAUGCGCAGAUAUCAGGAGGAACACCGGUGGCGAAGGCGGGUCUCUGGGCAGUAACUGACGCUGAGGAGCGAAAGCGUGGGGAGCGAACAGGAUUAGAUACCCUGGUAGUCCACGCCGUAAACGGUGGGUACUAGGUGUGGGUUCCUUCCUUGGGAUCCGUGCCGUAGCUAACGCAUUAAGUACCCCGCCUGGGGAGUACGGCCGCAAGGCUAAAACUCAA
rnacentral:rRNA from 1 species